rnacentral:rRNA from 1 species
AUUGAACGCUGGCGGCAGGCCUAACACAUGCAAGUCGAACGCGUGGCGGACGGGUGAGUAAUGUCUGGGAAACUGCCUGAGGGAGGGGGAUCACUACGGAAAACGGUAUAUAAUCGCGCAUAAUAUCGGAUGUGCCCAGAUGGGAAUAGCUAGUAGGUGGGGUAAAGGCUCACCUAGGCGACGAUCCCUAGCUGGUCUGAGAGGAUGACCAGCCACACUGGAACUGAGACACGGUCCAGACUCCUACGGGAGGCAGCAGUGGGGAAUAUUGCACAAUGGGCGCAAGCCUGAUGCAGCCAUGCCGCGUGUAUGAAGAAGGCCUUAGGGUUGUAAAGUACUUUCAGCGGGGAGGCGUUACCCACAGAAGAAGCACCGGCUAACUCCGUGCCAGCCGCCGCGGUAAUAC